rnacentral:rRNA from 1 species
UACGAAGGGUGCUAGCGUUGCUCGGAAUCACUGGGCGUAAAGCGCACGUAGGCGGAUUGCUAAGUCAGGGGUGAAAUCCUGGAGCUCAACUCCAGAACUGCCUUUGAUACUGGCGAUCUCGAGUCCGGGAGAGGUGAGUGGAACUGCGAGUGUAGAGGUGAAAUUCGUAGAUAUUCGCAAGAACACCAGUGGCGAAGGCGGCUCACUGGCCCGGUACUGACGCUGAGGUGCGAAAGCGUGGGGAGCAAACAGG